rfam:Salmo salar isolate Sally breed double haploid chromosome ssa14, whole genome shotgun sequence.
UGGGUCCCCGACUGUAAGUCGCUCUGGAUAAGAGCGUAUGCUAAAUGACUAAAA